AUAAAAAGCUACUGUACACUCUUCAUUUCCAACCACCACCUCUUCCUAUCUUCUCCCGCCCCUCUCCUUCCACACAUCAACUACCAGCAACAAAAUUAACGAAUUCCCACUUCACAGGUUUGGAUUUGUAAACGUUGAGGGUUCCGAUUUGUAAACAUAGGCUUCUAUUGGAAACUAGGGUUCCGAUUUGAAAAGGAUUUUGCUAUCAGCAAGUAUCAACCGAUUCAUCCUUCACAUCUCCAUCCCUCUGCUAUAUUUUUUUGGCCAAACCGGGGUGAAAAGCGCAGAGGCGGAGGUUAUAAACAACGAGGUUGCUGCCGAUGACGGGAGACCUUCAUCUCCGCCAGAUGGUGAGGAGGAGUUCAUUGAUGAUGAUGGGACUGUGUACAAGUGGGACAAGACGCUUAGAGCCUGGGUUCCUCAGCCAAGAUGACUGAUGGUCGAGCAGCGACCCCGGCGGGACUUAUUUCAGCAUCAAUAGCACAUGCUUUUGCACUAUUUGUUGCAGUUUCGGUUGGUGCUAACAUAUCAUGGGGUCAUGUGAACCCAACUGUGACAUUCGGCUUGUUUGUUGGUGGCCACAUUUCGCUUUUGAGGAGUGUCUUGUAUUGGAUUGCUCAGUUGACAAUUUCGAUGGAGAUUUGGGAUGAGUCAAAAUAAGAGAGAAAGCUUAUGGAUGGUAAUGAUGGACUGAUAAAAGGAGAGAGCAAUAAAGCUAGAGUGUGCAAUGUAAACCAAGUGUUUGUCAUUAGGCUUGAUCCGUCAAUCAUCAACGGAGCCAAUAACGGUAGACUUCGUGUCGACAAUUUUCAUCUUUCAAACCCUAAAUUAGGUACAACAACAAUACGCUGAACUUUGGAUUGGAACUCAUGCCUCCGGUUUGUCAUAUAUAGUCGGGGAAAAGGUGAUUGCUCUCCGGAAUUAUAGACUCUUGCUGUUUGAGAUUGUCUAAUCCUAAGGAUUUUAAAAAGCAUUUCAUCUGCUUGACAAAAUGCAUCCAUUAAUUAAUAUAGCUGGAACAAUUUAUAGCAAGACUCAGGAUGGGUUUUUGAUGUAUCAAACAAGGCAAGUGUUGCUACGUCUUUUUGGUGAUAAGUUGGAUGUGGCGGUAAUCAUGAGCUUUCACGUGGAAGAGACGGGUCGGCUUCUCAAGGAGGCGGAUGUUGCGCUCAAAAACUUUUUGGUGGUGACUACACAAGUAACUCUUUUCUGAUUAAAUGGCCCGUUGAAAUUUGGACAUAGGUUAAUGCGUAAGUAAAAGUCGUCAAAAAUCGAGCGUUACAGAUUUUAACAUCCCCGCGACCCGUUGCGGAGUGCAGACAUUACCACUAGUAUAUGUGUAUGAAAAAUCAUUAUUGUAGGGACGAGAGUGUGGUACAAGCAACGGUAGCAGUGCUGGGAGAUUUUGCAGUUGCAUCUGGUCCAAACGUGAAGAUGUUUAGCGAAGAUUUGGCCGUUUGUAGUGCAUUUGCUGCUGGUAUACCUUCUGCUACCGUUAGUGUUGGACUGUUGGUGACAGAUCCAAACAAAGAUAAAGAAGUUACAUAUGUACACUUGCAUAUAUUUUUAAGCUUCUAUCAUUUUUGUUAAGUUAAAACUAUUUUUUGUUACGCAAUUUCUACGGUUCAGGUUGCUAGUAUGGAUUGAAGACGUCGGUUUAAGUUCAAAGUAUGAAGACAUCGGUUCAAGAAGCUAUUCUAUAUUACUUUCACCUUUAGAGUUAUAUGUAUUUGUGUUAAAACUUUUGUAAUGUUGUGUUACUUUGAAACCUUUGUAUUUUAUAUUCUUGGGUUAUAUUAUAUUGGUUCUUAUUUAA